AGCGCCCUCUAGCUCAUCCACCCACUUGAACAACCCACUAAACUCAAAAACUAAAACAUUUUCCCUACUUAGUAUAGGCGAUAGAAAAGUUACUUGACGCAAUAGAGAUAUCCUUGUACCGCAAGGGAAAGAUGAAAUAAUAAUGAAAACCAAAGCAAAAAACAGCAAAGAUCAACCCUUGUACCUUUUGCAUCAUGAUUUAGCAAGAACAACCAAGCAAAACGAAUUUAAGCUUGCCAUCCCGAAACCCAAGCGAGCUACUUACAAGCAGCUAUUAUUGAGCAAACCCGUCUCUGUGGCAAAAGAGUGGGAAGACUUGUCAGUAGAGGUGAAAAGCCAACCGAGCUGGGUGAUAGCUGGUUGCCUGUGAAAAGAAUCUAAGUUCACUCCUAACUUACCCCUCCCGGCAUCCACUAACCUUAAUGAGGAAAGCUAGGAACUAUUUAAAGGAGGUACAGCUCCUUUAAAAAAGAACACAACCUCCAUUAGAGGGUAACCCCCCCCCCCCCCUCCUCCCACGUUGGCCCUAAAGCAGCCAUCAACAAAGAGUGCGUCAAAGCUCAACCAAAUAAAAAUUCAAUAACACUAUGACCCCCUACACCACUAACAGGCCAAUCUAUGACCAUAGAAGAACUUAUGCUAAAAUGAGUAAUUAGAAAUUCUUCUCUAAAGCGCAAGCUUACAUUAUAUAUUAUUAACAGCCUAACUUAUAUUUACACUCCUACUAGAACAAAUAUAAAACCACUCUGUUAACCCAACUCAGGAGCGCCUAUUAGAAAGAUUAAAAUCUGCAAAAGGAACUAGGCAAACCCAAGGCCCGACUGUUUACCAAAAACAUAGCCUUCAGCCAAUAACAAGUAUUGAAGGUGAUGCCUGCCCAGUGACUAAUGUUUAACGGCCGCGGUAUCCUAACCGUGCGAAGGUAGCGCAAUCAAUUGUCCCAUAAAUCGGGACUUGUAUGAAUGGCUAAACGAGGUCUCAACUGUCUCUUGCAGAUAAUCAAUGAAAUUGAUCUUCCUGUGCAAAAGCAGGAAUAUAAACAUAAGACGAGAAGACCCUGUGGAACUUAAAAACCAAGGAUCAAUGCACUCCCACCCAAACCUACUAAGGCUCACCACUCCUGCAACCAACUGAUCCUCGUUUUUUGGUUGGGGCGACCUUGGAGAAAAAAGAAUCCUCCAAAAACAAGACCACAACUCUUAACUAAGAGCCACUCCUCAAAGUGCCAACAGCGACCAGACCCAAUAUAAUUGAUUAAUGGACCAAGCUACCCCAGGGAUAACAGCGCAAUCUCCUUCAAGAGCCCCUAUCGACAAGGAGGUUUACGACCUCGAUGUUGGAUCAGGACAUCCUAAUGGUGCAGCCGCUAUUAAGGGUUCGUUUGUUCAACGAUUAACAGUCCUACGUGAUCUGAGUUCAGACCGGAGAAAUCCAGGUCGGUUUCUAUCUAUGCUAUACUUUUCUCAGUACGAAAGGACCAGAAAAGUGAGGCCAAUACCAAAAGCACGCCUCCCCGCCUAAUUAGUGAAAACAUCUCAACUAACAAGGAAACCACCACCCCCGACCCUAGAAAAGGGCUA
ensembl:Mt_rRNA